CCCAAUCCCUCGCAAUCCCCAUUUCCCUCCCUCGCAUUUUCAGAAAACCCCAUUCCCUCACAAACCCGAUUCCCUCACAAACCCUAUUCCCGCACACCGGAGCUUAGCGAUUGCCGCCUAUACACCGGAGCUUCUGCCGCCUGCACGCCGGAGUUCCAGCCGCCUUCAGCACACCGGUGCUACCGCCUUCUGCACAUACGCCUUUCAAAUAACCCACGACAUGUUAGUAUUAAAUCAUACUAAUUUCCAUUGCAACAAUAAUCCAUUUCAUUCUAAGGACUGUUUACUUUAUCUGUUAGUAUUAAAUCCCUAAUUCAAUAUUUCAAAUGCUUGGGACUGUUAGGUUUUUGAUUUGGUUUCAAUUUUGAUUCAACGUGAAGCGCGCAAAAUAAUACUUACAAAAUCCCUAUAUUUUUGUUUUAAUGGAGAAUAAUACGUCACAAGCAGUGCACAAGCUACAGCUUGCACUUCUUGAUGGUAUUGAAGAUGAUACUAUGCUUUUUGCCACGGGUUCUCUUAUGUCUAGGAGUGAUUAUAUUGAUGUAGUUACUGAACGUUCGAUUGUGAACCUUUGUGGUUAUCCGAUGUGCCCCAAUUUGUUGCCAAAACACCCUAGAAAAGGGCAGUACCGGAUUUCAAUUAAAGAGCAUAAGGUUUAGGAAAAGAGGCAUUGGGUUUGUUUGAGAAUGUGUGUUUAGGAAAAGAAGAUGAAGCCGAGAGUGAGGAAUUAGGGUUGUUGAAAUUGAUUAUUAAGGAGAAUGAUGAGAUAAGAGGAGGAGUGGUUCCGAUUGAAGAGUGGAUUGGUCCUUCAAAUUCUAUUGAAGGGUAUGUUCCUCAAAGAGAUUGUCAAUCCAAGUCAUUAUCGAAUUCUUCCAUCAAAGGAUUUGAACCAGAGAAUGCCAAGCCGAAUGUGAAACUGAUUUAGCUCCAAACAAGAUUGACUUUAAGGUUACUGUCAUGUCCAGUGAAGAUACUACUAGAUCCACGAAGGUUUCGGAAAUUGACAAGAGCUCUCAGCUCAAUUCGGAAGCGACUGAACCAUUUCUCAGUGACAUAAACUUCACGAGUGUUAUCAUACCUAAUGAUAAAUUAACUGCUCAAAAGAAGUCAGAAGCUGGUUCUAAUUCUGUGCAUUCUCAACCCAAAAAAGGCUCUAACAGAAAGAAAUGUUCUUGAUGUGGAAUGCACUCUUUUCUUGGCUUACAUCCUACUCAGUGGCCUAUAUCUAUGGAAAAGACGAAAGUUUCCAUGAAGAGUAUAUAUUUGUUAAUGGAAGAGAAUAUCCCUUCAAAGUAGUCCUUCCUGAUGGUCGUUCUCCAGAAAUCAAGCGUACACUUGCUGGUUGUCUUGGCAGAGCAUUGCCUGGACUGCUUACUGAUCUUAAUCUGCCAACUCCAGUAUCCUCUAUAGAACAUGAACUGGUAGUGUACUCUAAAUAUAUGUUAGAGUGCUUAUUUGGUUCUUUUUAGCGUAAAUUUAAAAUGGCAUAUGUCAAUUGUUUGUGUAACAUUUUGCAAUGUUUCUUGCUAGUUAGUGAAGGAAUUUGUGGAUCUAAUUGUUAAGAAGACUUCUCUUACUUUGCCGCCUGGUGAUUACCUGUUUGUGUAUAGGCUUAAAGCAUGUAUUGCAGCUUGCUAAACGCUAAUUUUUCUUGACAGUUGCAGAAGUUAUAAACUUUUCUGCAAUCUGCAGUCUACAACUAUAUCUGUGUGCAGAGAACUUCUGUAGCUUUUCAUGUUUAUGAUGAUGAUGAAAAUAAAGGAAAUGAUCAAGAUGAUCAAUAUGGUGAAGAUGGAGGAAAUUAUGUUCAUCAAGAUGAUGUUGAUGCUAGUCUCUACACCCAACCAUCUCAACAGCAACCUAAUGAUGAAGCCCCUAUACCUUCAAAGAAAAGUUGGAAUUUGAUUAAAGAUAUUGCUCUCAUAUGUUUAGUCAUGAACACAAGUACAGAUCCAAUUGUGAGCACCAACCAAAAGAUAAGAGUAAGGUGGCAAAAAGUCAAUGAAGCUUAUGAAGCAGCGAGAAUGAAACGACCCCAUCUGAUCCGACGAAGAACCGCCCACACGCUUAAAUGUUGUUGGGGUAGAGUUUCUCUAGCAUGUUUGAAGUGGUCUGGAUGUUAUGACGAGGCUCUUAGGAGGAAGAAGAGUGGCAUGAUAGACGAAGAUGUCCUUAAAGAAGCGCAUUUAAUCCAUCAAAGAAAACACGAUAACUUUAACUUGAUUGAGGAAUGAAAAAUUUUAGAGAAGUAUAACAAGUGGAAGCAAGUGGUAGAAAUUAAUAAAUAAAACAUUGGAUCAACAAAAAACUGGUAGUGUUAGUAGUGAAAGUAGUGGGAAAAGAUCAAGGACGGAAGAAGAUUUUGAAACUCCAACAAGUGAAUCUCAAGGAGGAUCAUCUACUCGCCCUGAGGGUGUAAUGAAGGCUAAGGCUCGCAUGACUGGGAAAAUGAUUGCAGAUCAAUCAAUUCAAGCUUUGAGUACAUUUGGAGAGAGUCUUCAACUUAAUUCAGACCUUUAGCAUUACAAUGGGAUAAGGUCCAACCAAGAUUGUUAGGAUCCGAAUUCUACAUAGGAUUGUUGAGAAAGUGCAAUUUAAAUCUUAGAAUAGGAACGUAUAAGAUCAUGUGAAUGUACAAUUAUGCAUUAGUAUGUUUUGGAAUAUGCUUUGGAUAAUUGAUUAGAUAUUUAUUUUAUGUAGUUUAUAGGUU